rnacentral:rRNA from 1 species
UGGGGAAUAUUGGGCAAUGGAGGCAACUCUGACCCAGCCAUGCCGCGUGGGUGACGAAGGUCUUCGGAUUGUAAAGCCCUUUCGGCGGGGACGAUGAUGACGGUACCCGCAGAAGAAGCCCCGGCUAACUUCGUGCCAGCAGCCGCGGUAAUACGAAGGGGGCUAGCGUUGUUCGGAAUUACUGGGCGUAAAGGGCGUGUAGGCGGCCCGCUAAGUCAGGUGUGAAAUUCCUGGGCUCAACCCAGGACGUGCACUUGAGGCUGACGGGCUUGAGUCCGGGAGAGGACGGUGGAACUCCUAGUGUAGAGGUGAAAUUCGUAGAUAUUGGGAAGAACACCCGUGGCGAAGGCGGCCAUCUGGACCGGUACUGACGCUAAGGCGCGACAGCGUGGGGAGCAAACA